GAGGCGAUGUGAAGUCUUCCGGGCUGAAUUUACUCUCCCUCCAUUAGUUGACAAAUCAGGACUCCUCCUUUCCCUGAGGUCGCUCCCGUUGGCACCCGCUCCCUGCUAAACCGGCGGUGCAAGAGCUUCAUGUGACUGGAGACGAGCACUACAGGCAGCUGCCCCGUCAUGAUGGCUGCCAGUCCCAUCGCCGCUUCAGUGUCCACUGUGGAGCGCUCAAACUCCUGAAACCUCAGCAUGGCCACCAGACAGUCCUCCUCACUGAAAACAACACAACACUCUUAUCAAGAAAGACUUGAAGAACCACCAAAAUGCAAACAAAAAUGAACACAGGUGAUGUGGCAAGAGGAACAUUCUGAAGUGUCCUUCCUGUUACCAAAUGCAUAUUGGAAAACCUGAAGAAAAUCACAUGGCCGAGACCAGAGCUUGGAAUAAGUCUUCACACAGUCCUGCUCCAAACAGACUGUGUGUCUCUGUACCUGUGCUGUGUUUGAUGGCAGCAGCAGUCCCGGCCAGCAGCCCGUAGUGUCCAGCAGAGGGCACCAGAACUGCAUCCACUUUAUAGACCUGCUCCAGGAUCUCCAGCCCCAC